ensembl:lncRNA
GAAUGUGAAUAAAUAGCAGAGUGCAGUAAACGCUCGACGUUCUACAGGGAAACUUCACCUUUAAGCUACAACACAAGGACACACACCAUAUGGCCACACACACACACACACACACACACACACACACACACACACACGACAAUCGCCCUUGGUGUUUAUCUCUAAAAUGUCUACAUGUGACACCGGGGUCAGUGGGGUCAUAAACACUCACCACUCUACUGUACGACCGCCAAAGAACUGAAAGAAAGAACUGAGCGAAUGAACAAAAGAAAGAAGCGACGGAAGAACAAAGUAAAUGAGAAACCCGAGUGAAGGAACCGAACGAGAACCGCGCAAAUGAAGAAAAGAAAGAACGCAAUGACGGAAUAAUUCGAAUGAAAGAACGGAAUGAAAGCACGAACAAAAUAACUAGAAGAACCCAAGGAAAGAAAGAAAGAAAGAGAGGAAUUGUGGGUAAAUGUUUCGUUAGUACACUAGUCACACUGCUCAAGCGUUUCUGUUUUUGUUAAACGAGGAACGCAGGAACAUCUCGCCGAUUGAAAUCCACCUCCUGCUCAUUUGUUUGUUCUUGAACUCCAGCGUGGACAGAAAAGGAAAAGGAAACUCUAAACACAGCUACGAAAGCAACACACGGCUCGCACCGUAACACCAUAACGCCACACCGAGAGCUUAAACGGAGAAACCCGUUAAAGGGAACACGCCACAGGUGACACUGGUAAAGUAACAAGCACACCAGAACAGGAAACAGCGACCAUAUAAGGACAAGUGGAGCGCUAAACGGGAGGAACCGUGAACGAAGAAGCCGGCAGGACGACAGAACCGAACUGUGACACAUUUAUUAUCAGACGUAUAUUAAACAUCUGUAACCAUAUCUACUUGCUGCUAUACAACAUUAUAUUUAUUUAUUAUAAAUUUAUUAUAUUUCUACAGAUGAAUAUUAACCUUUUUUUUUUUUAAAUAGUUCAAAUAUAAAUCCUCUUGGAUUAACACACGUACCUUUAAGCUUUCUUUUUAUGUUUUUUUUUUUUUUAAAGCAAUUAAUUUAGAACACGCUCUAAAAUAAACACACACACACACACACACACACACACACACGGAGAUGACUGACGGUUGUUUUGCUGCCGAAAAGCAAAGUAAGAACCGAUUUCUGGCAACCGAGGAUACAUUUUUAAAUCUCAAAAUAACUUCCCCGCUCUCGGCUGUUGGCCUGCAGUGUGUGUGUGUGUGUGUGUGCGUGUGUGUGUGUGUGUGUGUGUGAGAGUGUGUGAGAGUGUGUGUGAGUGCUUAAUCAGAGUUAUGUACAGCUCAAAGGAGGAUUAGGCCAAACGCCACACCCCGAGGCCCAGCGUGUACCACUUAAAUCCGUUACAAUUAAAAAUAAACACAAACAAAAACACCAACAAACCGACGAACCGACGAACCGACGAACCCCUUCUCACUUCAUGUGUCUUUUCUGUUGCUCGUAUUAAAUAAAUAAAUAAAUAAAUAACUUCACAGUGGAGCUUCAGACCGCUCGAAUAGUUUUACACUGUUAGUGUCUCUCUCUCUCUCUCUCUCUCUCUCUCUCUCUCUAUCUGUCUCUGUGUCUCUCUCUGUGUCUGUCUUUCUCUCUCUCUGUGUGUCUUUCUCUCUCUCUCUGUGUCUUUCUCUAUCUCUCUCUCUGUGUCUGUCUUUCUCUAUCUCUCUCUGUGUGUCUGUCUUUCUCUAUCUCUCUCUGUGUGUCUUUAUCUCUCUCUCUCUGUCUCUCUUUCUCUAUCUCUCUCUCUGUGUCUCUGUCUUUAUCUCUCUCUCUCUGUGUCUCUCUUUCUCUAUCUCUCUGUGUCUCUGUCUUUAUCUCUCUCUCUAUCUCUCUGUCUCUCUUUCUCUAUCUCUCUCUCUCUCUGUGUCUCUCUUUCUCUAUCUCUCUCUCUCUGUGUCUGUCUUUCUCUCUCUAUCUCUCUCUGUGUCUCUUUCUCUAUCUCUCUCUCUGUGUCUCUCUUUCUCUAUCUCUCUCUCUAUCUCUCUCUAUGUCUCUCUUUCUCUAUCUCUCUCUGUGUCUCUUUCUCUCUCUCUGUCUUUAUCUCUAUCUCUCUCUCUGUGUCUCUCUGUCUUUCUCUAUCUCUCUCUGUGUGUCUCUCUCUGUCUCUCCCUCUCUCUCUCCCUCUCUCUCUCAUGUCAGCUGGUACAGAAUGAGUUCAUACCUUUAUCUCUCUCUGUCUUUCUCUAUCUCUCUCUGUCUCUCCCUCUCUCUCUCCCUCUCUCUCUCAUGUCAGCUGGUACAGAAUGAGUUCAUACCUUUAGGUCAGAUGUUAUUGUUUAAAACGUCUGAUUAAACGUGUACACAGUUACACAAGUAAAGCAGUCUCAUUUAGCGGACUCUUUCGUACGGAGGACUAGUAAUAAUCUUACAUCUGGCCACUGUUUGGUGACUCUAAAACAGCGGCUCCUUGCUAAAACUGAAGAUACGUAAACUCCUGAGGAGCACGCUUUGUGUAAGAGGCGUUCAGCACUUUGGCACUGUGGUUUCCUGAAAGGCUUUGAAUUUGAAUUUUAUAUAACAACAUAAAAUAUUCGAAUUGAACGUGUCAUGCUGAUUUAUUAACGAAUACACGACGUGUACAGGAAAUGUGGUUUGGUUUAUUCUCCGGUGUUAUUUUUUUCCUCGGUCGCCUCGGUACAUUUCCCCGAAUCGCGCUUAACAUUCAAGUGCGUUUAAGUAAGCGCUUUUCUCCGAACACCACACAACGCAAACGCUCCCUGCAAAAGC